AUUCAGAUCAUCUGUUUGUGUCUUUAGAGGAAUUUGUCCGUUUUAUUUAAGUUACAGUGUUUUGGGCGUAAGCAAUUUUAAGGAGAAAGUUAUCCUUAACCAAGAUGGGAAAGGUCGAGGCAGGGUGGUACAGGGAUUUUACCUCCCACCAGGUAUCUCCCACAAACUCCCCCUAAUAUAAUACCGGCGGAGUUUGGGCUGUGGCUUUGGCUGUGUUGAGUCUCAGAUGCCUGUUGGGCCUCCUCAUGGAAACGCUGGUGGGCGAUUGGAUGAGCAAGUCACCGGCGUGGCCCAGGUUGGAGACUGGGAAUUGUCACCACAGAGAGAGCCUUUAGAGCUGUGAGACAGGAGGAGGCGCCAAGGAGCCAUUGCUCAGGUGGAGGGGAAGUCGAGGCAUGGUGCUUGGGCCUAGGGGCAGCACUUGGGAGUAGUCAGCCUGAAAGGUGAGAAGCCAGGAGAGGGGUCCCCAGCUUAUGGCCUGGGAGCUAACUCAGAUUUGGCGAGUGCAGGUUUUGUGGAAUGGUGGUGUAUUAGUCCGUUUUCACGGUGCUAAUAAAGACACACCCGACACUGGGCAAUUUACAAAAGACAGAGGUUUAGUGACUUACAGUUCCACAUGGCUGGGGAGGCCUCACAAUCAUGGUGGAAGGCAAGGAGGAGCAAGUCACAUCUUACGUGGAUGGCGGCAGGCAAAGAGCGAGAUUGGGCAGGGAAACUCCCCCUAAUAUGAUACUGUCAGAUCUCGUGAGACUUACUCACUAUCACGAGAACAGCAUGGGAAAGACCUGCCCCAUGAUUCAAUUACCUCCCACCGGGUCCCUCCCACAGCAUGUGCAAAUUCAAGAUGAGAUAUGGGUGGGGACAAAAGACAGGCAGGAGUUCCGAGGAUGAGUAUUUGCAUUCUGUCCCUGAGUUUGCUGUAAAGGAGAGCAGCGAGACAGAGGCAUGGGGUGCGGAAUGGCGUGUUUAAGAUGGAGUGAUGACAGGUGCCCGUUGGAGUGAUGCAGUAGACAGGAUCUGAUGAUGGGGAGCAGGUGUCGUGUGCCCUUGAGCAGG
rnacentral:lncRNA from 1 species